rnacentral:tRNA from 3 species
UAUUAGCUCAGUGGUAGAGCGCGCCCCUGAUAAGGGCGAGGUCUCUGGUUCAAGUCCAGGAUGGCCCA